GGUGGUUCUUGGGUGACACACCCUGGAAUCGAGCUCCCUCCUCUCUGGUUCUGGGUGCGCACCCAAGAACAGCA
rfam:Myotis davidii contig9403, whole genome shotgun sequence.